rnacentral:lncRNA from 1 species
CUUGUUUUAGUUAUCUUAACCACUUUGUAUUUUUUGGGAACUGAUUUAUAAGACUCUGCUAAUGUUUCUUGAUUGUUGCAGAUUUUCUAAUUCAGUUUAAUUUAUUUCUAUAAAAAAAAAUGUAAUUCCUCAAAACCUAAUGUUUUUGUUUCCCAUAGUCUGUUUAUAAAAUCAGAUGAAAAUCAAGCAGCUGUGUCUAUAGCAGACCUAAAGCAGAAAUACUAGAGGGAAUAUCUUGACUUAUAUUAAACGGUCUUUGAAAAUGUUAUUAAUAAACUGGUAUUAGAUUUGGCUGUCUUAAGAACAACCUACAAAAACCAUACAUUAGUGUUUGGGAAAUGUUCUUUCUGUGUUUGUUGUGAUGGUUGAAGGUGCAAAGUCUCCUCAUACUAAACUAAAUAUCAUAACCAGAGAGCUAUUCUGAUAUCAGACUCAUUGCCAACUGUUGCUUCUGGAUGUGUCACAACAGAAACCAGAUCUGCAGGUCUGAAGGGCAAGUCUGUAGAUCUGCAUUGCUGAAGGAAGCUUCAUCAGAUCCGCAGAAGAACUCAGAUGUAUCUGGUUUAAUCAACGCGCGUCGGGAGAGGAGAUGCCAGCUCGUAUAGCAGCUCUACGGGCCUCAGGGGCUGGAAAGUGCUGAUGAACCCUGUUGUCCGGAGAGGUGCUGGCCUGACGGGAUGAUGGGACGGAGGAAUAAAGCGAGAGCAGUGUGGUGUUCUCAUCUCUUCAGAUCUCAGCACAAAGGCAGUAUGACAGAGAUGAAUCCCUCCCUCUCCCGGACCCUCGCCCCCCCGAACUCCAGGCCCGCUGCUGGGGACGCCUUUGUUCACUUCCCUCCAUUAUGGGGAAAAUAGUGAUACACAGUCAAACCAAAGCCGUGAUUCCCUCUGAGCCUUCUGCUCAUGGUGUCCCAGGUAAACAGCUGACCUUCGUGGAGGGAUUCGGACGGUGCACAUGUUCAUUUUUCAAUCCACUCUUCUUCAACACUGUGAUCACAGCAUUUCAAGCAUCACUCGGCUCUAAAAUCAUCCUGUUUCUCAUAAAGCAGCCUAUCAUUGACCUAUCAGAGACAGACACCAUAUGCAAUGCGGCCAUAAAAUCACUCUGAACAUUAUCAUCCUUCCAAACUGCAGGAAUAUCGCUUCUUGAGUGGACGGAAUUCACAAAGCAUGUUAAAAUAUGCAAAUAAAGGCUCUUAAGAGCUUGCACAGUGGUUGGUUUCAGAGUCGAAUGCUAACGAUUAUUAAUUUGGAGGGGUUUUAAUCUCAACGCACGGAAAAGGGCUCUUUUCUGUGGUCAGGAAUGUUGAUUGGAUUUUGGAACACACACUCAAAAAAAAAAAAUUAAAAACUAUUUCACAUUAGCAAAAUAAUAACCCAAUGACAUGGGUCGAUUGGUUUUCUUUUCACAUAUUAGAUCAACCAAGUGAGAAAUUGGAAAGAAACUGUUGAAGUGUGUUUCUUGACUGCUCAGCGCUGAUAAUGAGUUAAUCCGUGAGUCUGCUCGACUGUCCGAGGUUAGGAUCCACGGGUGUUCGGCGGGUGUUUGAGGGUCACGUAUCCCGACCCACUCCAGAUCAUCCUUCAAGGGCACUCUAACACUGGAGUUUACACUACAUUAGUGAGCACAGCGAAAACCAUUGAUUUUAAUAGGGAUGAGGAUGUCAGUGUUGGGGAAAGAAAUACUUUUUUGUCAGAUUUUUGGCAGGGGGUCAUGCUUUAAAGCCCAGUAAACAUCUUAAACUGGAAACCACUUUUAAAUUAACCACAUUUUUAGCAGACUUUAAAAGAGACUUGUGCAAGAUUUACCAAUGGAGUUAGUGAGUUAAUGAA